ensembl:snRNA U6 U6 spliceosomal RNA
GUGCUUGCUUCGGCAGCACACGUACUAAAAUUGGAACGACACAGAUAAGAUUAGCAUGGCCCCUGUGCAAAGGAUGACACGAAAAUUUGUGGUGUCCCGUAUUGAA